UGGCUUUGGUGAGGAAAAUCGCUUACUCUGUGAACUAGUCAAGCAAGAGAGACGCGGACAGUGGUUUCUGUGUGUCCAGGGCCUGAUAGUUCGGACAGGAUUUUCCGUUGCCUUUCAUGAACCUUGAACACAUGCGAGCAUCACAUAAGAAGUCGUUACAUACCGAGAACUGAUCAGAAGAAGUCCAACUGAACAGGAGAAGGCGUUCUGGUAGAGGACCUCCUCCAAGCAGCGAACCAAGGACAGCACCAAUAAAGAUGGCUUCUCAACAAAACGAACCUACGCAUCCUUUCCAACCAGGAGACGUGGUGAUAGUCCAGUGCCUGGCAAAAAGACGAAAACAGACUGAGUUCCCGUUUGGACCACCCACCCGAG